rnacentral:rRNA from 1 species
CCCGGUGAUAUUUAACGGCUGCAGUAUCCUGACUGUACAAAGGUAGCAUAAUAAUUUGCCUUUUAAUUGGAGGCUGGAAUGAAUGGAUAUACGAGGUUAGAGCUGUCUCUAGUUUAUUAUUAUAUAAAUUUUUUUUUAGGUGAAGAGACCUAAAUUCUAAUAAAAGACAAAAAGACCCUAUCGAUCUUUAUUAAAAAUAUGGAGUUUAUGUUAAAUUUACUGUAUGACAUAUGAUAAUUUGGUUGGGGCAACAAAGAAAUAUAUAAAUUUUUCUUAGAUAUAAAGAGUUAUUUUUCUUUUAAGAGAUCUGUAUUUACAAAAAGGAGAAACAGGUACCGUAGGGAUAACAGGCUAAUUUCUUUGGAGAGUUCAAAUUGAUGAAGAAGUUUGGCACCUCGAUGUUGGCUUAGAAUAUCCUAAGGGUGUAGUAGCCUUUAAGGGUAGGUUUGUUCAACUAUUAAAAUUCU